CAGCCGCCGCGGUAAUACGUAGGUGGCAAACGUUGUCCGGAAUUAUUGGGCGUAAAGGGCUCGCAGGCGGUUUCUUAAGUCUGAUGUGAAAGCCCCCGGCUCAACCGGGGAGGGUCAUUGGAAACUGGGAAACUUGAGUGCAGAAGAGGAGAGUGGAAUUCCACGUGUAGCGGUGAAAUGCGUAGAGAUGUGGAGGAACACCAGUGGCGAAGGCGACUCUCUGGUCUGUAACUGACGCUGAGGAGCGAAAGCGUGGGGAGCGAACAGGAUUAGAUACCCCAGUAGUCCCUGUCUCUUAUAC
rnacentral:rRNA from 1 species